AACGAACGCUGGCGGCAUGCCUAACACAUGCAAGUCGAACGAGACCUUCGGGUCUAGUGGCGCACGGGUGCGUAACGCGUGGGAACCUGCCCUUAGGUUCGGAAUAACUCCCCGAAAGGGGUGCUAAUACAGGAUAAUGUCUUCGGACCAAAGAUUUAUCGCCUUUGGGUGGGCCCGCGUUGGAUUAGCUAGUUGGUAGGGUAAAAGCCUACCAAGGCGACGAUCCAUAGCUGGUCUGAGAGGCUGAUCAGCCACACUGGGACUGAGACACGGCCCAGACUCCUACGGGAGGCAGCAGUGGGGAAUAUUGGACAAUGGGCGAAAGCCUGAUCCAGCAAUGCCGCGUGAGUGAUGAAGGCCUUAGGGUUGUAAAGCUCUUUUACCCGGGAUGAUAAUGACAGUACCGGGAGAAUAAGCUCCGGCUAACUCCGUG
rnacentral:rRNA from 1 species